rnacentral:lncRNA from 1 species
GGCCAACUGAGUAAUUGCUAUAAUGCAUUCCCUUUUCAUAAUAUCUGCACUGAAUCUUUGUUGCUUCGCACUUCAGUUUGCAUUCCAGCAUUCUUUCAUGCCAAGCCUGGUGAUUACUUUGAGUCCCUGAGCUACAGGCAUAAUUAUCUCUCAAGAAGACAUUGGGGACUCUUGAGAGGAAGCCCGAGGAAGAUGGAGAGAAGAAUACUAGAUGAAGGAUUAAGAACUUGAGCCUGCCAACUUUUGAACUGGGACUUAUACCUCAUUGGCUCUCCUGAUUCUACAGCUUGCUAACCGCAGAUCUUGGGAUCGCUCACCCUCCAUAAACAUGCACUACCAAAAGUGUUUAGAGCACUCUGUUGAAAAUGGCAGUAUUUGAAGAAACUGGAUGUCACUUAAAAUAUGAUCCUUGGAUAAACAUCACAUGCUGCUGGCCUUCUUACAAAAUGAGUAAGCACUGACUUUCUCUUUCUGGCUGCCAAAGCCACUUUGAUUUUCCUGGAGACUUCUAUUUAGCAGGUAGUUUGAGGGGACUAUGGGGAGGGGACAAAUAUCGUACAUUUGGAUUACAAUCUUUAUUUGCUUCACCUGCCCUCUUUUUUGAGUAAAAGAGUUAAGGACAUGUUUCUAUACAAUGAAAAACAAACUAAAAUUAUUCAGAGAGUUAACCUAACUUUUUGCCCUUCCCCAAUGAGACAUAUAAAUGAGAGCUUGCAUUUCUUGGCCAGAUCCGAUGAAUUUAAAUUUUCCAUUAACAUAUAAUAGGUUUAGACUAUAAAUCCCUUUGAGCGUGGGAAUCAGUGAGGAAAAACAACACUCUGGAAGCUAUUGCUCAAAUAAGCUCAAACACUUAUUUUAGAAUAUACCAUGCCUGUAAAGAGAAAGAUAAUACAUUUUAUGUGUGUCAAUUUUUAAAAAAACAGCAAGAUUUUUAAAAAGCCAUUUUAUCUCUGAGAGAUUCAAUGACCAUGUUUGAUGACAAGCCAGAUGGCAGCAUUCCCUAGACCCGGUGCCAAGACACAUGACAGGAGCCGCAAUUUACCUUCCGUGGUGAGGCUAGCUGCUGAAGCACACCACAGCUGCAGGCGAGCGGGCUGCUGCCGGUAGGUGCAAGCACAGUUGGUUCCCUCCCAAUUUGGAUGCAGCAGGUGUGAGUGAAGUGCUUGGCUCUGCGAGAUGGUCCUGGAAUAUCUUCACCACUCUUCACAAUUACGUCCUCUUGCAUUCCCACUGAUCCUUCAGAAUUGUGUGGCCUUUCAACUUUCUGAAAGGCCUUCACUGUCUCUUAAUUCAAAUUCUCCACAUGUAAAUACAAGUCAGAUCACCUUACAAUUUAAUCUUUAAGCAAAACUGUAAAUCAUCAUUUCCCGCGACAUUACAAUUGUUGGGGGAAAGGUGUUUGGUGUCACAUCUAAUGGCUUGAAAACUCGGAGCAUCUCUGGACACAGUCAAUAUCCAGGUCUCAAAUAUGCAUUUACUGUGUUUAUUAUAAUGACUGCCUUUGUAUUCACUGCAAUCAUUUUCUACUGUUUCUUCCUUUGUGUAAUCAUUUCUUCCCUUCCCCUCCAUUGUAUUUUUUUAGAGUAAUUCUAUAUUCUGUUUUUGAAUACACACUUCUCUUUCUUUUAAAAUAAUUUGUUGUGUAUAUUUCAGUUUUACUACCUGAUGUAACAUUAGGAUUGCAGUGCUUACUCUCUCUCUCUCUCUGUAUAUGUGUAUAUAUACAUAUAUACAUAUACAUAUAUAUACAUAUCUAUAUAUAUAUAUCUGUGUAUAUAUACAUAUAUACAAAUCUGUGUAUAUAUGUAUAUGUACACAGACUGAGAGAUAGUACAAUGAUUACUAUAGUGAGGCAGUUUAACCUAUCUAUCAUCUCACAUAGUUGCUUUUUUGUGUGUAAUAAGAACACCUGAAAUCUACGUAUUUAACACAAAUUCCUAAUACAAUAUAAAAAUUCCUAAAGAAAUUAAAAAUGGAGCUGUGUUAUGACCCAGCAAUCCCUCUUCUGGGUCUACAUCCAAAGAAAAUGAAAUCACUACCUUGUAAAGAUCUCUGCACCCCCAUGUACAUUGCAGCGUUAUUCACAAUAGCUAGGCUAUGGAAACAACCCAGGUGUUCGCCAACCAAUGGACAAAUGGAUAAAAAACAGUGGUGUAUAUAUGCGUGUGGGUGUGUGUGUGUGUAGUGGAAUAUUAUUCAGCCUUAAAAAAGGAGACAGUCCUGCCUUUAGCCACAACAUGGAUGGAGCUGGGGACAUCAAGUGAAAUAAGCCAGACACAUAUACACAUCUAAAAAAAAUGGAGCACCUGUUUUCCUAACUUGUCUCUUAGCUAAAAAUUCUUCAGCAGUCUUCACUGCUUGGAAAAUAAAGCCCUCAAUACUUAGCUUCUCGUUAGAUAGAGGUGAUUCUCACUAUUCAUUGUAGGUGUGUUUAAAAAGUCACCACAAACACUGAAUUAGUGAAUACUGAGCCAUUGUUCCUAGGAGAAAUAUAGAGUUCGUUUCCUAUGAACCUCUGGUAAUAGCAUUUUUGUUAACCAAAUAAUAUAUAACCUUGUUUUAUGUGUGUUUCCCUGUACAGUUACCUUAUUUUUUAUAUAUUGAUUCAUUACCAUUAAACUCAUGGCUACCAACAUGAAAACUAUGCUUGAAUGAAGCACCUAACACAUAUUUUCUUCAUAGGGCACAUUGUAGUCUCUUGUGCUGAGGAUCACUGGAGAGCACUCAACACUACCAACACUCGGAAGCCAUUCUAAACAGUACAACACCAAAAAAAGUACAAAAAUGAAAAAACAAGGUGGCAUUUAAUAGACUGCUAAAAGGACACUUGUUUACAGCAGAGAGCUGAAAGGCGGCAGAGUGCCACAUUGUUCCAUGCCAAUUGGAAUGAUGUGCAGAGGGGGACGGGGUUGAACAUGUCCAUGAAACAUGGUGAAAGCGAUGCAAGGGCAUUGAUCGUGGGGUUACAAAUAAAUAUUUGGGACUAGGUGAAUUUGCAAAUAUAGAAUCCUUGAAUAAUGUGGAUCAAUGGAAUUUGCAUUAUGCUGUGAACUUAAUUCCACUGUCAUACACACUAAAAAAUAAGCCAUGUUCUAUCCAGAACAGAGGUUUGAGUAGUCCCAAGGCUCACCUUGUAUUCUCCUAAUCCUAUAACUCUUUUUUACUUUAUACCUUUGGUUUGAAACCACUCCUGUAUUUGUUCCUUCACAUAGCUUUCUGUGGUUAAAAUCACUAUCUCCUCUGCAAAAGCACUGAAGAGAAAUCACCAUUACAGAAGAUGUCAUAUUCUCUUUCAGUUAAGGAUUAUUUUUAUUCAGAUAUGACCCAUCCACGCCUCACCUGUAUCCUAGAAAUUUAAGCUAAAGCUCCAUGAAGGUAAGAACCUUCUCUCCCAUUUCUUUACACCCUCAGUAGCGAGCCCAGAACCCAGCACAUAGCAAGGGCUCGAUAAAUACUUACUAAACUGAAUUCAACUGAAUUUGAUUUGAAUCAGAUUGACGUAUAUUGCUAUUUCUUAGGUACCUCUAUAAAAAUCCCCUAUCACUGAUACGAUUCUGUAUGCCAUGUACAAAAAAAUUCUGUAAAAAAUGGAGAAAAGCUUACAAUAAUCUCCACAGAGAACCAGAGGCAAUAAUGAGAAGGGUAAGAAGUAAAGUAAAUGUGGAGGCAGCAACCUGGUUAGAGGGGUGCCACAUGAAUUAUUUAUUUAUUUAUUGAGUCGGAUUUUUUGCUCUUGUCGCCUAGGCUGGAGUGCAAUGACGUGAUUUCAGCUCACUGCAACCUCAGCCUUCAGGUUCAAGUGAUUCUCCUCCCUCAGCCUUCCAGGCAUCUGGGAUUACAGGAGCCAACCACCAUGCCUGCCUAAUAUUUUUGUAUUUUCAGUAGAGAUGGGGUUUUACCAUGUUGGCCAGGCUGGCCUCCAUCUCCUGACCUUGGUGAUCUGCCUGCCUCAGCCUCCCAAAGUGCUGGGAUCACAGGUGUGAGCCACUGGACCUGGCCUGCUACGUGAUUUAAAUGGAAGCUGUGUCUGUGUAGCCAGCACAGCAUUUUUAUAUUACAUGUAUCUGCGUGUCCUGAUGCAAGUGUGAAUUUGGGUGGGGAGUGACUCAUGGCUAUCCAGGGUGGACUAAGCCAGCUACUCUUGGCACUGUACAGGAGCCUGAUAGGCUCUCCACCCGCAUAAUUCAAACAGAUGGUAGAACACUAGAACACUUGUGUGCAUCCAGAAACAAACCCAACUAGGUCAGGAGAGUAUUCCAAAUAUUAUCUUAAUUAUUUCAAUGUAAUUAUAGCCAGUGUAAUUUCUUACCAAAAGAAGUAAUAAGCAUACUCCUUCAUUUAUCUCAAACUAUGCUUAAAUAAUAGCACUGGGUGAAAUUGUUGUGUAAAUUAAGUUAGUUAUGCAAUAUCCCAUUAAGGAAUAUCCUGGAAAGCUAGAUUUAAAACAAGAUAUUGAUUAUAUCUGCAUCUAAUUUGUGGGCUAUGCUAGUGUCUCCUCAAGCUCAUGGGGCGAGAGAGGGGUUUGGUUCACAAAGUUAGUAAAUCAUCUUUAUCACCCUGGGAGUUCGUUGAAUUACAGAUUUCUCCAGCUCUGUCCACUCUGAGAUUCUGAUUCAGUAAAACUGAAGAUUUUAUAUUUCUCUUUAAUAUUGAGCACAACUGAGUAAGCUACAUUUUAUUACUAUUUUCAUCUAUGCAUAUAUAAUUUAAGAUUUUUAUUUCAAAUGCAUUUCUUCUUAAAGCAUAUAAUGAAAAAUAGAAGCAUUAGGAGAGACAUCAUUUUUUGCUAUCAACAAAAAUGUCACCAUCAGUGUAUAGAUUUUAAUUAGAUAUUUUAUCUACUUAAUUUUAGUAGCAUUCCUCAAGAGAAAAUAGAAAAUUUGCAAACUCUGUCUAACAAACCACAUGUACGCAAAUAUGUCUUUAGUCUAUCAGUCAGUUGAUUAUCUAUUUAGCUACUUAUCUCUGUCAUCUAUUGGCUUAAAAUUUUAUUCAGAUUGCCUUUUCUAUGAUGCUUCCUAAAUAACUACUAUAUACACCUAUUUUACAAGUAUUUGUGUUUCUUUUGUUGGUUGAAUUUCUAAAAUCAGAAAAAUACCAUUAUCAAUCCAUCAAUGUGGAUUUCUUACCUCCAUCACCAUCCAACUUACAGUCAUUCCUUUUAAUUUUAAAUACUCUGACUGGGCACAGUGGUGCAUGCCUGUAGUCUUGGCUACUUAGGAGGCUGAGGCAGGAGGAUCACUUGAGCCCAGGAAUUCGAGGCUGCAGUGAGCUACGAUGGCACCACUGCACUCCAGCCUGGGUGACAGAGCAAGAGUCCAGAUCCAAAGAUAAUAAAAAUAAUACUUAAAUUAAUUGUAAAGGAUGCUCAAAUUUGGUGACCUUAACAGAAAAAUAAAUUUAUCUUACAGUACAUUUUAAAAUACACAUGCGCGCGCGCGCGCACACACACACACACACACACACACACACACACACACACACACACACGACAGCAGAAAUUCCCUCAGCCACUUGAAUAGACUAGUCUUAAUAUUGGUGUGAUACUUAUUUCUGUGGGUGAUACAGGUUUAGAAGUGAAUUUUCCCAGAAAUGAAGACAAAGGAAUGAGUAAAAAGUACAUCAGAGGAUAUCUUUUCUAUACUAACCUAGAGUCUCAUGCCAA